GUGAGAAGGGCAGCUCCAAUAGAAUGAAAAAUUUUGGGAAAACAGGACGUUGCUAACAUGAUACACGUCAGUUUCCUUUUACAACUAAAGUGCAAAAUUUGUGCAUUUAUGAUUUUUUUUUUUUUUUUUUUUUUUUUGUACUGCAUGGGUGAGGCACUCUUUUGCAGCCACCUGAUUCUGCCGGUCCAUCUAUAAAUGUUUUGGGUGGGAUGUUGGAAUAACUUAUGUCGAUUUAAAAAUCUUUUUUUUUCCUUUUUUGUAAUCGUAAUUGAUUUUGCACAUUCCCAUCUGAUUAACCAAUCCCCCCCCCCCCCCCCCCCUUUUUUUUCUUUCUUUAAAUCAAACCUGGACAGCACCAGAACUUUUUGUCUGGGAUUAGAUCAGGUUUGGUCUGGAUUUAGUCCCGUUUUGAGCUGAACUAUUUAAAAAAUGUAUUUUUGAACUUUGUAGAUCAAUGCGGAGUUCACCCGAAUCACCACAGUUCCACUGCUGUCCACAUUCAUGAGCAGUCUUGACCAGUACUCUGACCAGUUGAUGAAGAUUCUACGAAAAAAAAGGAGGGGAAACAGCGCGGCGGAUCACAGCAGCGUUAUCUGCAAUUUCACAGCACUCCUAUGCAACAACACUUUUCUUCCUUCUUUCGGGUGGUACACCACGCUAAAGCUGCAUUUUC
ensembl:lncRNA